rnacentral:rRNA from 1 species
GAUGAACGCUAGCUACAGGCUUAACACAUGCAAGUCGAGGGGCAGCACAGUGUAGCAAUACACGGGUGGCGACCGGCGCACGGGUGCGUAACGCGUAUCCAACCUUCCCGUUACUCUUGGAUAGCCUUCCGAAAGGGAGAUUAAUACAAGAUGGUAUUCAAAUUCCGCAUGUUAUUUGAAUUAAAGAUUUAUCGGUAACGGAUGGGGAUGCGUGACAUUAGAUAGUAGGCGGGGUAACGGCCCACCUAGUCUACGAUGUCUAGGGGUUCUGAGAGGAAGGUCCCCCACACUGGAACUGAGACACGGUCCAGACUCCUACGGGAGGCAGCAGUGAGGAAUAUUGGUCAAUGGUCUGACGACUGAACCAGCCAUGCCGCGUGAAGGUCACGGCCCUAUGGGUCUUAAACUUCUUUUGUUGGGAAUAAAAGCGCUACGUGUAGCGUUCUGCAUGUACCUUACGAAUAAGCAUCGGCUAAUUCCGUGCCAGCAGCCGC